GUGGGGAAUAUUGGACAAUGGGGGGAACCCUGAUCCAGCCAUGCCGCGUGUGUGAAGAAUGCCUUUUGGUUGUAAAGCACUUUAAGCGAGGAGGAGGCUACCGAGAUUAAUACUCUUGGAUAGUGGACGUUACUCGCAGAAUAAGCACCGGCUAACUCUGUGCCAGCAGCCGCGGUAAUACAGAGGGUGCGAGCGUUAAUCGGAUUUACUGGGCGUAAAGCGUGCGUAGGCGGCUUUUUAAGUCGGAUGUGAAAUCCCCGAGCUUAACUUGGGAAUUGCAUUCGAUACUGGGAAGCUAGAGUAUGGGAGAGGAUGGUAGAAUUCCAGGUGUAGCGGUGAAAUGCGUAGAGAUCUGGAGGAAUACCGAUGGCGAAGGCAGCCAUCUGGCCUAAUACUGACGCUGAGGUACGAAAGCAUGGGGAGCAAACAGGAUUAGAAACCCUGGUAGUCC
rnacentral:rRNA from 1 species